rnacentral:lncRNA from 1 species
UUCUGAGGAUAGUAAAAGAAAAGCACUGAUGAAAAACAAUUGUAAGACAUUUUACACACCAUUAAGAAAUAAAUAAAUUACUUUAGGGCCCAUGUAAUACUCUUUUGGAAUUUUGUUUUAUCUGAAUAAGUUUCAGGCCAAGUCUCUUUAGUUAACGUCAUUAUCUUUAAUUCUGCAUUAAAGAGAAUUACACUGAUAUUUUUUACAUUUGUGGUCUUUUUUCUCCACUCUUUGUGAAUGCUAUUUUUAACUUUUGCUACUUCUACACUCUGAAAGUCCAGAAAGAACAUAACUUUGCAUGAAGGCAAACAAACUUUAUGCAUCUUCUGGGCCACCUCUCCCAGAAGGGUGAUUUAGUAAAUUCAUCCCUUGCACCAAAUGUUAAAC